GAAAGGGUGACAUGCCUAAUGGACAUGGCAUCUGCCCGGUAAGCGGAACACUGUGGGUUCGAUUCCCAUCCCUAGACA
rnacentral:tRNA from 1 species